AAAUUGGAUUGGUUGGACAAAAGAAAGUGUGACGUGGAAAUUGGAAAAUAUAAUUCUAAGAACAGAAAAUUUGUAACCAAGUGCAAUUUCAGUAGAAAAAACAUGUGAUUUUAUAAAGUUGACUCAACCAAGUUUCUCCUGUUUACCAAAAUCUUUUGAAUAUCCAGUUGAAGAUAGUCUUAAGAAAAAAGCAUAAAAAGAAAAAGAAAAAAGAUUAAAUCUGUAUGCUAAGGGCAAAAUCUUGAAUUAGAGUCCUCUCUAACCAAUCAAAGCACAUAAUAACUCCAGAUAAUCAAUUAGAGCUUAUCUGGCUUGAAGAACUAUAAAGAAAAAAAAAACCAUGGAUAGGCGAAUGUCUAUCUGAAAAUAAUACACAAAUGUCUAUCUUUAGCUAGACAUGGGGCUGACUUAAUAUUUUUAGAGAUUCAUUUGUGUUUUCAAUAGCUAUUGGUUGAGCUAAUCUAGUAUGCUUCUCUCUCUUGUGGAUCUUUAGCCAGACAUGCUUGGAAUUAGUAUUGGACUUGCUUUCAAUGUGGUUUUGCUUUCAACUAAUAAAAAAUCAGGACUAAUGGAUAGGUUAGGUUGUUCACACCCUUGACCUUUAUGGGCAUGGUGCAUUGACAUGGAAAGCGAGUCAACAUGGUUUUGGGAAUCACCCAGGGGCUUCUUUAUCUUCACUAAGAUUCUAUAUUUCUUUUCACAUUAAUUUCCAAUGAAAUGUUUCAGCUUAAGAUCAUAGUUAAAUUUUUACUAGUGCAGCUACUAAUAUUUAUGGAUUCUACAGUUUGUAUAUGAAUAUUCAUAUUGGCCUUUGUGGAAAAAAUUGUAUGUAGGUCUUUAUGCUUAUAAUCAUUCCAUUGAAUGGCCCAUUCAUAAAUUUGUGCCUAUAUCUUCUAUUUUAACUGCCUGACGUAGCAUGUAUAACUAUUGACAUGACCAUGAUAAGGCUGAUUAUUGAUUUUUGGUAAUUGUAAUGAUGGUAAUCAAUAGAUAAAUGGUACAUAUUACUGGGCUAUGGGCCCCACUUGUCAUUGCUGAAUACCUGUGUAUAUUGUUAAGAGACGCGCAUUACGUAUAUAGGGAGUUAUUUGAUACUCUGGCAGCAUACGACUUUUAACAAUAUAUUUCUUGUUUUGUUUCGACUUUGGAUGAUAUUUCCAAGCUCGUGCUUGAAUUAUUUGAAGUGCAUAUGAUGGCUUAAAUAUACUUUUGAGUUAUAACUACGAAAAAAAUAUGAUCAGAGGCACGUCUAUUUAUCUUUAUUUUUUCCUUAAUUAUUCUCUAUUCAAUUUCAGAUGAUUGCUUUCAACUUAGAGAAUAGAGGCUUUAUUACUAGAACUCUAUUUAUAACAAUUCACAUUUAUUUUAGAAAUAUUUGUGCCCGUGAUUUGUUUGCUUUUUGUGCAGAUUUUGAAUAAAAGGCUUUAUCAGCAUGCCUUGGCUGUCUUCUUGUGUUAAUUACAGCAAGAAGUGUGUUCGCUUGGUAGUGUUCUUUCAUGUCAUAUUGUAAGAUUCAAGCUUUUCUGUAAAGAUGGUUUGGAUUUUUGGGGCGGCUCAUGCAGGUGAAAUACCUUUGAAUCAUGAAAGCAACUCACGAGACUAAUGUAGAUUUUUACUUUGGCAUGUGAAAUCAUUUCUUUUAUGGACACGAUAUGUACCAACUUAAAACCUUUUUGCAGUCAUCAGGAUAUUUGUGUUGGGACCUGUACCAUUUUAGUUCUGUCUUUCUUCAAUAAAGCAGUGGUGUGUCUAUAUUGAACUGAAACUUGAAUUUAAUGUCUGGAACAUGUUAGACUGGGCUCUUAGUCAAUUAAGUGAUGCAGAGAAGCUGUAUAAACAACUUGCGCAUUUAAAAUCAAGACCUAGGCAAAAUUUUCAACGUAAUGGUUUCCUGGGACUUUUUGGACGAAAGGUUGAUGUUGUAGAUCACACUGAGAAGUGGUUACAAGAUUUGGAAGAGAAUGUUAGAAUGCAACAAUCAGAUGUUUCAUUGAUAGGAGAGGUCUUAAUACGCCUGAUGGGUGCUGAUGAACAUAUUUAUUCCAAUUAUAUGGACUCAAAGCAGUGGUUACAAGAUACGGAGGUGCUUGAGAUGAUUCUGAAUAAGUUCAGCUCCUCAAACAUGGUGUGAAGAAGGGCCCAUGGACCCCAGAAGAAGAUCAAAGGCUUGUGGACUACAUUGAGAAGCAUGGUCAUGGAAGUUGGAGAGCACUCCCGAAGCUCGCGGACCUGAAUAGGUGUGGAAAAUUCUCCAGUGAAGAAGAGCGGAUCAUUGUCAACCUUCAUUCGGUUAUUGGAAAUAAGUUUUAGGCAUGGAUGAAUGGGAGCUAUAGAUCGAUGGAUUUUAUUUAUUUAUUUGAAACUAUUCGAUUUAUUAUUGUAAAUAUUAUUUGCGGUAGCUCGAUGCAUGUGAAAGGGCCGCAUAGGCAUGUAUUUUUUUAUAGGAAAACAAUCACUAGGCACAAUCGACUUCCUAAGAGGAAUGUGAAAUCAAGUGGGCCUUGAGCAAAAGUCAGGUGGGCCUUGACCAAAAGGGUCAAUGAUAAGGUCCAUCAUUUUAUGAGUUGGAGAGGCAGAACUCAUAAAAUGGGACUCACUGUGAGUCGGGCAUCUAUUUUGUGCCA